AUUGAACGCUGGCGGCAGGCCUAACACAUGCAAGUCGAGCGGAUGAAGGGAGCUUGCUCCUGGAUUCAGCGGCGGACGGGUGAGUAAUGCCUAGGAAUUUGCCUGGUAGUGGGGGAUAACGUCCGGAAACGGGCGCUAAUACCGCAUACGUCCUGAGGGAGAAAGUGGGGGAUCUUCGGACCUCACGCUAUCAGAUGAGCCUAGGUCGGAUUAGCUAGUUGGUGGGGUAAAGGCCUACCAAGGCGACGAUCCGUAACUGGUCUGAGAGGAUGAUCAGCCACACUGGAACUGAGACACGGUCCAGACUCCUACGGGAGGCAGCAGUGGGGAAUAUUGGACAAUGGGCGAAAGCCUGAUCCAGCCAUGCCGCGUGUGUGAAGAAGGUCUUCGGAUUGUAAAGCACUUUAAGUUGGGAGGAAGGGCAGUAAGUUAAUACCUUGCUGUUUUGACGUUACCAACAGAAUAAGCACCGGCUAACUUCGUG
rnacentral:rRNA from 1 species